rnacentral:rRNA from 1 species
AGUGAACGCUGGCGGUAGGCCUAACACAUGCAAGUCGAACGGCAGCACAGUAAGAGCUUGCUCUUACGGGUGGCGAGUGGCGGACGGGUGAGGAAUACAUCGGAAUCUACUUUUUCGUGGGGGAUAACGUAGGGAAACUUACGCUAAUACCGCAUACGACCUACGGGUGAAAGCAGGGGAUCUUCGGACCUUGCGCGAUUGAAUGAGCCGAUGUCGGAUUAGCUAGUUGGCGGGGUAAAGGCCCACCAAGGCGACGAUCCGUAGCUGGCCUGAGAGGAUGAUCAGCCACACUGGAACUGAGACACGGUCCAGACUCCUACGGGAAGCAGCAGUGGGGAAUAUUGGACAAUGGGCGCAAGCCUGAUCCAGCCAUACCGCGUGGGUGAAGAAGGCCUUCGGGUUGUAAAGCCCUUUUGUUGGGAAAGAAAAGCAGCAGGUUAAUACCCCGCUGUUCUGACGGUACCCAAAGAAUAAGCACCGGCUAACUUCGUG